rnacentral:rRNA from 1 species
UACGUAGGGGGCAAGCGUUGUUCGGAGUUACUGGGCGUAAAGAGUGCGUAGGUGGUGCCCUAAGUCUGUUGUGAAAUCUCCCGGCUUAACUGGGAGGGUGCGGUGGAAACUGGGGUGCUUGAGUGUGGGAGAGGUAAGCGGAAUUCCUGGUGUAGCGGUGAAAUGCGUAGAUAUCAGGAGGAACACCGGUGGUGUAGACGGCUUACUGGACCACGACUGACACUGAGGCACGAAAGCGUGGGUAGCAAACAGG